ACUCCUACGGGAGGCAGCAGUGGGGAAUAUUGCACAAUGGGCGCAAGCCUGAUGCAGCCAUGCCGCGUGUGUGAAGAAGGCCUUCGGUUGUAAAGCACUUUCAGUUGUGAGGAAGGUGGUGUCGUUAAUAGCGGCAUCAUUUGACGUUAGCAACAGAAGAAGCACCGGCUAACUCCGUGCCAGCAGCCGCGGUAAUACGGAGGGUGCGAGCGUUAAUCGGAAUUACUGGGCGUAAAGCGCAUGCAGGUGGUUUGUUAAGUCAGAUGUGAAAGCCGGGGCUCAACCUCGGAACUGCAUUUGAAACUGGCAGACUAGAGUACUGUAGAGGGGGUAGAAUUUCAGGUGUAGCGGUGAAAUGCGUAGAGAUCUGAAGGAAUACCGGUGGCGAAGGCGGCCCCCUGGACAGAUACUGACACUCAGAUGCGAAAGCUGGGGAGCAAACAGGAUUAGAUACCCUGGUAGCACAGAG
rnacentral:rRNA from 1 species